AAAGAUUAAGCCAUGCAUGUCUAAGUAUAAGCACUUAUACCGUGAAACUGCGAAUGGCUCAUUAAAUCAGUUAUCGUUUAUUUGAUAGUACCUUACUACAUGGAUAACCGUGGUAAUUCUAGAGCUAAUACAUGCUAAAAAUCCCGACUUCGGAAGGGAUGUAUUUAUUAGAUAAAAAACCAAUGCCCUUCGGGGCUGCUUGGUGAUUCAUAAUAACUUAACGAAUCGCAUGGCCUUGCGCCGGCGAUGGUUCAUUCAAAUUUCUGCCCUAUCAACUUUCGAUGGUAGGAUAGUGGCCUACCAUGGUGUCAACGGGUAACGGGGAAU
rnacentral:rRNA from 1 species